AAGAGGGCACUAUGAACCCACCAAACAACAAGAAAUUAUCAUAUAAUUUAAUCGUUAACCCCACACUGGAGGGCCACAUAAAGGAAAGACUAAAAGAAAAGGAAGGAACUCGGCAAACAUAAGCCUCGCCUGUUUACCAAAAACAUCGCCUCCUGCCAAACUCAAAGUAUAGGAGGUCUUGCCUGCCCAGUGACAAGUUAAAC
rnacentral:rRNA from 1 species